rnacentral:tRNA from 1 species
GCGGGUGUGGCGGAAUUGGCAGACGCACCAGACUUAGGAUCUGGCGCCUUAGGCAUGCAGGUUCAAGUCCUGUCACCCGCACCA